rnacentral:sRNA from 1 species
CUGCUUUCGAGCUUGUGAGUCUGGGCUUGGAACGUGGAUACAUGCUGAUUUCACAAAAUUGAGCAACGGAUAUUUUGUUUACAGGCGAAUCCAUAAGCCGAGCAGAAGAUGAACAUGUUCGAAUAAUUCAAUCAAUAAUGGACAAAUGUAUGAAAAAGGAAUCAUUAUUAAAUGAACUUUAUCUGCAAGUGAUAAAACAGACCACGGAUCAUCCAGAUGCAAAUUCAAGAGUAAAUUUAAAAAACUGGGCACUUUUAAGUGUUUUAUGCAGCGUCAUUUUGCCGUCAAUGAAGGCUGUUCGAAAAUACCUAAUAGCUCAUUUGAAAAGAUGCUCAAGUGAUUUUUUGUCUGAGGAAGGAAAAUACGCACGAUUUGCAGAAAAUGUACAUUUAACAGCUUGCUUGCAAGUUUUGAUUUUGUGUCUUUGUACAGUGCUGCGAACAAGAAGGCAGUCACUGAGAACGCUUACUAAGACACUAGUCAGUUAAAAAACAGUUCGUGAGAACGCGCUGAGUGACAAAUGUCGUCCGAUCCACACAGUGAGGAUACUGCAAGCUGGAACGGCAUGGAUUUGGCGUGGUCAGAAAGGGAUUGUGGAGUCAGGGGUUGGUCUCCUUUACUAGGAGUGGUCCUAACAGACGUACGCUUCCGUGUGUUUUGCAAAGGUGGUUCUGAGAAGAGCUCCGGCGUGACCUAAACUGACGACACAACUUGCUGCCUCGCCACCAUUAUAUCCUAGGUCGCAUUCAAGCCUGUACAGGUUUCGUUUUCAGCUCAUCGGAGUCCAUACUGAGUAAUAAAUUUAAUAAAGCUGAUAUUAAAAACCUUGUCUUCUUCUUGAUCGUUAUAUUACACAAUU